UACGUAGGGACCGAGCGUUGUCCGGAAUCAUUGGGCGUAAAGAGCGUGUAGGCGGCCACUUAAGUCCUGCGUGAAAUCUUGCGGCUCAACCGCAAGCGGUCGUGGGAAACUGGGUGGCUAGAGUGCGGGAGAGGAGAGUGGAAUUCCUGGUGUAGCGGUGGAAUGCGCAGAUAUCAGGAAGAACACCCGUGGCGAAGGCGGCUCUCUGGAACGCAACUGACGCUGAGACGCGAAAGCGUGGGGAGCGAACGGG
rnacentral:rRNA from 1 species